CCAGGAAUUGAUUACUUCGGUUUGAUUUUCCUGACGAUGAGCGGCGAACGGGUGCGUAACACGUGAGAAACCUGCCUUAAAGUUCGGGAUAGCUCGGCGAAAGUCGAAUUAAUACCGGAUGUGGCCUUGGGAUAGCAUUUUCCCUUGGUUAAAGCUCGGUCACAGAGCGCUUUUAGAUGGUCUCGCGGUCUAUCAGCUUGUUGGUGAGGUAACGGCUCACCAAGGCUACGACGGAUAACUGAUCUGAGAGGAUGAUCAGUCACACUGGAACUGAGACACGGUCCAGACACCUACGGGUGGCAGCAGUCGAGAAUCAUUCACAAUGGGCGCAAGCCUGAUGGUGCGACGCCGCGUGGGGGAUGAAGGGCUUCGGUCUGUAAACCCCUGUCAUCUGUGAGUAAGGUCUCGUAUAAAAGCUACGAGGAUUGAUAUUAGCAGAAGAGGAAGGGACGGCUAACUCUGUGCCAGCAGCCGCGGUAAUACAGAGGUCCCAAGCGUUGUUCGGAUUUACUGGGCGUAAAGGGUGCGUAGGCGGUUAAAAAAGUUUGGUGUGAAAUCUUCGGGCUCAACCCGGAAACUGCACUGAAAACUAUUUAACUAGAGGGUCGGAGAGGAGAUUGGAAUUCUCAGUGUAGCAGUGAAAUGCGUAG
rnacentral:rRNA from 1 species